CCACAACGUGGUACUCAUACUGAUAAAACAUGUGAGUGUGUUAGUUUGAUACCUCUCCAGGGCAUUCCAUGUGCAGAAUCCUGACGAAAAGCUCUUGGAUGACGAAAAAUGUCCUGUGUUUGUUUUGCAAAGCUAAAGAGAGCGUAAUGACAUGCAGGGCCGUCUUUAAUACUGGUUGCAGUGUGUGUGUAUAGAGGUUAUG